UUUAACUGAAGAGUUUGAUCAUGGCUCAGAUUGAACGCUGGCGGCAGGCUUAACACAUGCAAGUCGAGCGGUAACAGGGGAGCUUGCUCCUGCUGACGAGCGGCGGACGGGUGAGUAACGCGUAGGAAUCUACCUAGUAGAGGGGGACAACAUGUGGAAACGCAUGCUAAUACCGCAUACGCCCUAAGGGGGAAAGGAGGGGACUUUUCGGAGCCUUCCGCUAUUAGAUGAGCCUGCGUAAGAUUAGCUAGUUGGUAGGGUAAAGGCCUACCAAGGCGACGAUCUUUAACUGGUCUGAGAGGAUGACCAGUCACACUGGGACUGAGACACGGCCCAGACUCCUACGGGAGGCAGCAGUGGGGAAUAUUGGAC
rnacentral:rRNA from 1 species